GUCGGCUUCCCUUGCGUUUAGCAGGGGAAGGCUUCGUUUUUUGGUUUUUGAUCUGGCUUUAAAGGAAAGUCCUUCCUCAAUUGAGUUAGGGUGUAUAUAGUUGUUGGUUUGCAUGCCUGUUGAUCUUCAAUAAAGAGGACAUUUGUAGCAGUGCUUGUGUGCUGGGUAUAGUUUGAGGGUUCUAAACGGAGAGGUUAUGGUCGAUUGCAAUUUGAAAGCCUCGAUUUGGUGCAUCAUCUCUUGGGACUAAGGGUCGGUUUUACGCAAUGAGAGGGUCUCCCUUAAUUUGGCUAUUUUCUCAUCUCCAGGAACUGUUUUUACCAUACGGCUGGAAAGGUCUUCCUAAUAACUUUGGGUGCUAGAGAGCUCUAUAGCCGAU
rnacentral:misc_RNA from 1 species